rnacentral:ncRNA from 1 species
AGUCGGACCCGCGAAGGGUCCGCCGGACGAGGGAGCCGUACCCGGAUCGCGACAAGACGGCCACGAA